rnacentral:tRNA from 1 species
GGCUAUAGCUCAGUGGUAGAGCACCUGCCUUGCACGUGCGAGGCCCUGGGUUUGAUCCUCAGCACCA